rnacentral:sRNA from 1 species
CAGUGGUUGCUGAGUUAGAGUUUAACAGCAUAACAACCGCCGCCGGACAUGAUCAAAGAGG